CGGAGGGGCGUAGCGUUGUUCGGAAUUACUGGGCGUAAAGCGCACGUAGGCGGACCAUCAAGUUGGGGUGGAAAUCCCGGGGCUCAACCCGGAACUGCCUCCAAACUGCUGGUCUGGAGGUCGAGAGAGGCGAGUGGAAUUCCGAGUGUAGAGGUGAAAUUCGUAGAUAUUCGGAGGAACACCAGUGGCGAAGGCGGCUCGCUGGCUCGAUACUGACGCUGAGGUGCGAAAGCGUGGGGAGCAAACAGGAUU
rnacentral:rRNA from 1 species